UUACGCUUAGUAACUUUUAAUUAAAUUCAUAACAUUUAUGUACACAUGAAUAAAGCAAAAACAGCAGCAACAAGAUUUAACGCUUAGACAAUAAAAUAUUGGGAAAAGGACAUCUGGGACUGUAUGACAUUUAAUGUUAGAUUCUUGGAGUUUAUAAGAAGUGUAGGUAUGCAGAUUUGAGACAAUUUAUUCAGGAUAAAGUAAAACCUACCCGAGACAAGAGAUGGAAGGAGCUUCUAGGAUUAUGUUUUCAAACAAAGUGAUGGCGUUGAUGUUUUUGUCAGCCAUUUUCCAUUCCAUGGGGUUUGCAACGCCUGGUUGGUUGUUUAUGAAGCUAAGCAACGGCACCAUUCAUACUGGUUUAUGGUACGGGGUGCAUUGUGAUAGCAGUUCUUGCUCUACUAAUACCAUUUGGAACCUUGACCAAUCACAUUUUAAGUUCAAAGGUACG